rnacentral:rRNA from 1 species
AGAGUUUGAUAUGGCUCAGGACGAACGCUGGCGGCGUGCCUAACACAUGCAAGUCGAGCGGGGUGCAGCAAUGCACCUAGCGGCGGACGGGUGAGUAACACGUGGGGAACCUGCCCUAUACAGCGGGAUAGCCAUUCGAAAGGAUGAUUAAUACCGCAUAAUAAGUAACUGCCGCAUGGCAGAAACUUUAAAGGAGUCGGCAACGAAAGUUGCCGCAUCCGGUAUAGGAUGGACCCGCGGCCCAUUAGCUAGUUGGUGAGAUAACGGCCCACCAAGGCGACGAUGGGUAGCCGGCCUGAGAGGGCGAUCGGCCACAUUGGAACUGAGAUACGGUCCAGACUCCUACGGGAGGCAGCAGUGGGGAAUAUUGCGCAAUGGGGGAAACCCUGACGCAGCAACGCCGCGUGAGUGAAGAAGGCCUUCGGGUCGUAAAGCUCUGUCUUCGCUGACGAUAAUGACGGUAAGCGAGGAGGAAGCCACGGCUAACUACGUGCCAGCAGCCGCGGUAAUACGUAGGUGGCAAGCGUUGUCCGGAAUUACUGGGCGUAAAGGGUGCGUAGGCGGUUAUUUAAGUCAGAUGUGAAACCCCGGGGCUUAACUUCGGGAUUGCAUUUGAAACUGGGUGACUAGAGUGCAGGAGAGGAAAGCGGAAUUCCUAGUGUAGCGGUGAAAUGCGUAGAUAUUAGGAAGAACACCAGUGGCGAAGGCGGCUUUCUGGACUGUAACUGACGCUGAGGCACGAAAGCGUGGGGAGCAAACAGGAUUAGAUACCCUGGUAGUCCACGCUGUAAACGAUGA